rnacentral:tRNA from 13 species
GUCCCUGUAGCGCAGUGGAUUGCGCGCUGGACUUCUAAUCCAAAUGUCCCGGGUUCGAAUCCCGGCAGGGAUG